GGCAUAGGAAAAUGCAAAUUCUGCACUGACCGCUGACCGGAACCAAAGAGGGCGAGUUCUCCUGGGAAUUCUGCUUUUAACCCCUCUGUGUUCUCAGAGGCGUGUCUGCCUUUAAUUGGUCAAUGUCUAAAUUGACCUCUUCCUUCCGGAAAAGUUCUUUUUCCGUGUCAAACCACGAUAACGGUGAAGGUGGAUAAUUUGCUUCAGCAAGAGCUGGGGUCUGGAGGGUUUUUCAGGUACCUGGGCGGUCAGGAGCACGUGUCUAGGUCACUACAAAGACUUUUUGAUCUCAUUCAGUUCUUUUCUGUGUGAGGCUCUGCGGGCUGCUGCCAAGGCCCAAAGUAAGGAAGGUUCCCCCAGUGUCUGUGCUCUUGUCAGUAGUUUAAUUUAUUUGGCUUUUCUAGGAGCAGACCUCGUGGAGUACCUUGGUGCUGUUUUCACUGACCUCCUGCGCUCUCCGAGAGAAGCCCUUGAUCUCUGCUUGACCUUCCAGCUCUGUGACAAAGAUCCCGAGUCCCUGAAAGUUGCUAAGUAUCCUCAGCUCUACCGGUUUAACCGAUACUAUAGACUCUGGAUGCCCGAGCAGUGCCAGGAACCUGUGGUAUGGAAUCCCUGAAGUCACUGAAUUCUUGAGCCAGCAUCCCUAUAAAAUCCUCGCAGUCGGCAGAAGCUACAUUUCCAUCAGAAACAGCGUUUUUAUUGAGGAGUUGGAAAACCACAAGGAGGUAAGCCAAGAGCCUCCUGUGGCACCGGAUUCUGUAUUUGCCACUUUGCUGAAGGGAGCCUGGGAGAGGGGAAGCAGUACCUUCCUGGAGGAUGGUGUUCAGAAAAGUGGAGAGACUUGGCUUCCUGGCUCCCCCCACCUGAGCAGCUUUUGUCGGGAGUAAAGCACGUGCUGCUGUACCCUAAAUCCACUGUGGAGAACUUGAGUAGCGUAAGAGCAGCGUUGUAAUAAUACUGUAGUUAUGCUUGGUUUAUGUUAUGGUAGAAGAUACAAAUGACUUGGCUGCUAAAACUUAGGUUCCAGUGCUGAAGCUCUUUUUUCUCUACUCGGCUCCGAGGGUACAAAGCACCGUACAAAACUGCACCUAAUUUGUAAACAAAUGUCAGUUGUUCUGAUUAUUGAAGCCGGGCUUUAUUCAGUUGAAUCCCGACUGUGUGCUGCGCCCAGGUCCUUUGUACAAAUAGCAUACGGGGCCUGGGGGAACCAGAACUGCACAUUCCUUGUGAUAUGUAUGGGAUUUUGGGGGGGUUAAAUAAAAAGGAGAUGCAAAA